rnacentral:rRNA from 1 species
AUUGAACGCUGGCGGCAUGCUUUACACAUGCAAGUCGAACGGUAACAGGUUAAGCUGACGAGUGGCGAACGGGUGAGUAAUGCAUCGGAACGUGCCCGAGAGUGGGGGAUAACGAGGCGAAAGCUUUGCUAAUACCGCAUACGAUCUCAGGAUGAAAGCAGGGGACCGCAAGGCCUUGCGCUCACGGAGCGGCCGAUGGAAGAUUAGGUAGUUGGUGGGAUAAAAGCUUACCAAGCCGACGCUCUGUAGCGGGUCUGAGAGGACGACCAGCCACACUGGGACUGAGAAGCGGCCCAGACUCCUACGGGAGGCAGCAGUGGGGAAUUUUGGACAAUGGGCGCAAGCCUGAUCCAGCCAUGCCGCGUGCAGGAUGAAGGCCUUCGGGUUGUAAACUGCUUUUGUACGGAACGAAAAGACUCCUUCUAAUAAAGGGGGUCCAUGACGGUACCGUAAGAAUAAGCACCGGCUAACUACGUGCCAGCCGCCGCCGUAA